rnacentral:rRNA from 1 species
AGGGAAUCUUCCGCAAUGGACGAAAGUCUGACGGAGCAACGCCGCGUGAGUGAUGAAGGUUUUCGGAUCGUAAAGCUCUGUUGCCAGGGAAGAACGUCCUGUAGAGUAACUGCUACAGGAGUGACGGUACCUGAGAAGAAAGCCCCGGCUAACUACGUGCCAGCAGCCGCGGUAAUACGUAGGGGGCAAGCGUUGUCCGGAAUUAUUGGGCGUAAAGCGCGCGCAGGCGGCUGUUUAAGUCUGGUGUUUAGUCCUGGGGCUCAACCCCGGGUCGCACUGGAAACUGGACAGCUUGAGCGCAGAAGAGGAGAGUGGAAUUCCACGUGUAGCGGUGAAAUGCGUAGAGAUGUGGAGGAACACCAGUGGCGAAGGCGACUCUCUGGGCUGUAACUGACGCUGAGGCGCGAAAGCGUGGGGAGCAAAC